AAUGAAUCAUAAAUUUUAUUUCAAAAUGUAAACGUCACUAAACAUGCAUACACGUUAAAACAAUAAAAUUUACAAUUUCGUUAAUUUUUUCUUUUUGCAUAGGACGUCAUUACAAUAUAGAAUCUAUGCCAUACAAAAUACAUACAAAGUUUUAUCCAAGCAAGCCAAGGCCAGACUGCGAACUGUACAACUGUAACACAUCACUGUAGUGAUCCAGGCAGGGAAGAUGAAACAUGGCCUUCGGAAGCAUGGUCGGGUGCUGGUUUAAAAAAAAAAAAAAAAAGGAAAAAGUUCCUAUGGAAAGGAAAACAUGAGCUCCACGGAAAUGGUCUCGGACCCUUAGAUUCUGCCUUGGGCAAACAAUUCCAGAGAAGCUCCACCAACAGCUUUGGAUGGAAAGGAGUGGUCUGUGCAACCUGGGGCAGCUGAGACCCUCGCUGCAUGCCCCCAACACAUCCACACAAGCUUAAUUCCCAGCCACCAAAAGAGCCACAGAAAGCCCAGCUGGACACUGCAGCACAGGAUCUCAGCUGCUGAGCCCUAAGGUCCCCAGCACUGAGUAUGGGGUGGGGCUCUCUAAGCUGAGGCCAGGGAGCAAAGUCUUCACUCGCACCCUCAGAGUCAGGCACCCUGAUCCCGAAUAGACUCUGCGGCUUGGGUAUCUCUGCAGACAUUCAGCUCACACGGCUUCCAAAUGGCCUGUCAAUAGCACAAGGCCUGGGAGCCUGGGGGAAAGCUGUUCCUUCACCUCACCCCCAGGACUUCCUGCCUCUGCCCUCCUCUGCCCGGGGAAUCUGUGACUUGUAGGGCAGGGGACACUACUUCUCUCCCAUCCUGUUUAUUUUUUAAAUAAAAGUAGUAAAGUUUUAAAGCUGUAUGAGAAAGGGAGAGGUUGGGCAGGGCCAGGUGGCCACACUGCAGGUUAUCUUGAUAAAGGAUCAGUAGAAACCAAGAGUGGCCCCUCUUCCCCAGUGGACAGGGGCUCUCACCUCCGGCCACCGUCAACUCCUCUGACUGGUGAGGACGGGACAGCAAGCAGGAGGACAGGGCUUGCCCUAAAGGGGGUCCAGGCAUUUAUCAGUAGUAAGCUGGAUUGUACACCCAAAUUCUGGUUCAAAAUUCCCUGGAAUGUGUCUAGGACAAACCUUCAAAGCCUCAGAAUCAGGAAAAUUAGUCAUAGGACCUGAUUCUUCCUGAGGUGAUCCUGAUCUCAAAAACCAUCAGCUACAUUUCCAUUUUAGUUUUGGAAAAUACGGUUACCAGAAUUGCCUAUGGAAAGUUUGGGCAGUGAAAGAUGUGGAUAAUGUACAAAGCAUUUCUUACUGGUUAUGAUAUAACCAACACAUCAUACCCUUUAAACCUUCUAGCACUGUGUCUUUGAUUACAUGACCUUUAAAUGGUGUUUAAAAAAAAAAAAAAAAGUGACACCUGUCAGAAGUCAAAAUAACCAGGUAGCCUUGUGAACACAGCCACAGCCAGGAGCUCAGACUGCACCUUCCUGUCAGGUGGCACAGCUGAGGUCCUGAACCAGGUUCCCAGGGAGCACUUAGCAAGGGCCAGCCCUCGCUGCCCACCUUCAUCUACACCUCCCCUCACGGGGCUGAGCGGGGGCCCAGGGGGUGGUGAGGCCUGUAGUCACAGGUGGUUCGACCUGGAGGUGGCACCAUGGCGGAUCCUAUACCUACCUGGAUGCAUGACUUGGAAAAAAGUGAAGGGAAGGGGAUUUUGCACCUCAAGUGCUAUGGGUUCUGCGGGACACAGGUAGGCACCUCCAGGACCGUGUUCCUGUCAAGGGCAUCUCUGCCUGCUCCUACACAGCACCCAGCAGGAGAGGCCUCCAGGGCUGCUUGUGGGAGGGGCUGUGUCCAUCUGUGUUUUUCUGUAUGGCUGUAGGAUUCAGUAGGCAUUUGGGGAGCUGAUAACUGUUCCCCUGGUAUGGCUGACGCAAAGAGGGGGGCCUUCUUGUUUGGGACAUAAGCUGAACACCCAGCCCCCUGAUGACUGAGCCCAGAGUCAAUAUUAGGCUUUUGUAUGUAGGGAACUCUCCCUUCACUCAGGCCACCCUGUGGCCUGCUAGAGCUGCAGUCUGCCCCAAAAUGAAGAUUUGAGUUUUCACUAUUAUUUCUACGAGCCCUUGGGUUCCUCAAACCCACUGACACUGGCAAGCAUGGCCAUAGACCACAAAAACCAAAAGCCCUGAAGCAGACCCAGGCUGGGAAGACAUUCCAUUGGUGAGAAGAAAACGCGGCCCAUUUCAGGAGGGCCCUCCCUGUGCGCUGCUUCAGUGGGUGAGGCGUUCUGAAGCCCCACCCUCUUACGCAGGCACCCCUGUUUCAUGAUGAGAUGGAAACCUGCUAGUGAGACACCAUUUGAAUAGAGCCUGAGAUUCAUGGACUUCCCCCCCCCCACCCGCCCUUCAAGUGAGAUGAAUUUAAGCCCCAGGAGGGUCCGGCCAGGAGUGCCCGGCAGGAAGUCCCUCCUGGUGCCCCAUCCCCACUUCCCAGGCCAGGCUUGGCCUAAGGACCGCACCCUGACAUUACCCGAGAACCACUUUGGGAAUGAAGACACACUCAUUUUCCAAAAAUAGCCAACUCCUGCAUAUUUCUGUUUUAAGGCAAUGUUACCCUUCCAUCUGUCAGACGGAACAGCCCUGGGUCAUUUAGAGGAAAAAAUUAAAUUAAGUGCUCUCUUUGGAAACAGCCAACACCCACUUCCCUCCCCCACCCCCACCCCGCUCUAAAACAAACCAGCUCUUUUUUUUUAUUCCAAGAUGACUAGAUUUGGAGUCCUUUCUUUCCCUUGCUAUGUGCAAUGUGGAGUUAGGAGCCCUCCUUCCGACACCGUGGGCAGAUCCAGGUCCCAAGGGCACUGGCUGCUCCCUCCCACAGUGCUUCCCUGGCCUCCAGGGGAAACGCCACUCCUUCUCCCUGCCUCUGGGAAACCUGGAUGGUGAGUGCACCAAAGGACUUUGGAAUAAAAUUCCUGAACCUGGAAUGUGAAUUCCUGAGACAUGAAAUGUAUUCAGAGUGUGGCUUUCUCUGCUUCACACACAAACAACUUUGGGAGGGACCUCACUUUGGAACCAGGCACGAUGAUCUUUGUACCCCGAGCACCCAGGGCUCUCUACUGCCAAGGUCCCUUCUGCAUAUCUGCUCUCUCCCAGACCUAAUGCAAGCCAGGCUGUCUUAGAGCCCCACCCAGUACAGCAGCACAGCACCCUGGGUGGCCAGCUCUACACCUACCAGGGCAGGGGCUGCCCCUGGCCAGCAUCAUGUACCCUCAGCAGGAACUGUGCUCCUCCCAACUCAGUGCCCACUGUGAUCCCAGCUAACACAUGGUAGUUACAGUGGGCACCUGGAGAGACGCAGACGGCACACUGCCACCUGUGUAGCUGGUGUGGACAGAGCGCACCUAUCCACCCUGGAGUCAGCCAGAAAUAGCGGCCAGAGGCUGCGGGUAACAGCUGGACCCAGGUCUCUGGAGUUUCUCUGCACACAUGCCGUGGCAGGGCCGGUGAAAGCAGGAUGGCCACAACCAAGGCACUCUGGGCCCAGGAAGCCCAUCUAUGGCCCUCUGAGGUCCCAAGGGCCAUUUCUCAUCAAAAUGAGUACCCAUCAAAAUAGGUAUCUCUGCAAGUUAUCCCGAGUCUGCCCCGAACUCACCCAUCCCCACCAACACACACACACACAUACACACGCACACACACGUGCGCUCACACACAUACACAUAUAUACACACACAUACUCUGUCCUGGGACCUUGUAUGUACAGGCCCCAACCAAGAGAAGGGAGGGUGAGCCUGGGCUGCAGGCUGGGGUGGACACCCCUGGCGUCUGCAGAGGAGCUGGCUAGAUCAUGGCUUAACUGACUGGGCCCAAGGCUUGAACCCCAGCCCAGCUCUCUGCUCCUCCUCUCCUCUCCGACCAGCAAAAGGCUGGCCGUGGAAACCCUCAGCAAUCCUACUGUGCCACAGGCUGGUUGUGACCCAGAGUCUCCCAGGCAGAGCAGGGAGAUGCAGGAAGGAUAAGGAGGAGGAAUCCAGGGGAUAUGGGGAGGAUAGAAGUUUGCUAAGUCUGUGCUGGGGAUACGCAGGUCUGAGGAAUGUGUUUCCCACAACUUUCCAUCUGGUGUUCCCUGGGUAGGAAACAACGCAAGUUCCCGACAGCGUUCCCAUAUCUGCUGAGACACUCCCACAAAGUUCCAAGUCACAAUGUCCCGGUCUCUUGCUACAGAAGGGUCUCUAAAGUACUGAGCAUGCUGUCACAAGCUCGGCCCUUACAGAGGCCCUCCAAUGAGGCAGCCCCACAGUCUCACCCAUGGUUUCAAACACAGGUGCCUGGGCGGCAGUGCCGGUGCGAGAGAGCUCCAGAACUGGGUGUGCCACCAAAACCUGCUGCCAUCUUUUCAGAAGGCCAGGAUCUCAGCCGGAGAACAUGGCAUGUCAUUGUGAAAGGCUCUGAGUGCCUUCAGUGGGGAGUCAGAGCAGUGGGGCCGGGGCAGGCAUGGCCCAAGCCCCUGCCUGGUGGGGUGGCCGAGCUGUGGUGUGUCCACCUAGGGCUUGUGUCUCUGCUCCCAGCCAUUGGGCAGGAGCAAGGCAGGUGGGAGAGGUGGGGUGCGCCUCCACCCCGCACAGCCUAAGGCAUCUCUCUGAGGGGGCCUAUUUCUCAGAAACAGCUGCUUGUGGCCCAUGGGGCACGAGCCUCAGUGACCAGUCUGCUCCCACCGCUGAGCUGGGCUCCACCUGGCCUGGUGGCCUGCUCCGUCCCCAGCACGUUUCCCACCCGGACAGAAAACUCCAGCGUGCAAAUGUCUGUACAGAGUAAGGCGGCAGGAAGGGCGUCCUCGCUGACCUCGUGGACCGCGUCCAUCCCUGAGAAAGGAGGGUUCGACACCGCUGCAUCGCCACUUUGUGGUUAUGUCUGUUGUGCAAUUUGUGGAUGGUGUGGGGUUUUCUGAAAUUCGUCCUGGUUUUUUUUUUUUUUUUUUUUUUUUUUUUUUUUUU